rnacentral:rRNA from 1 species
ACAGGGAUUGCCUCAGUAACGGCGAGUGAAGCGGCAACAGCUCAAAUUUGAAAGCUGGCUCUUGCAGAGCCCGCGUUGUAAUUUGUAGAGGAUGCUUCGGGUGCGGCGCUGGUCUAAGUUCUUUGGAACAAGACGUCAUAGAGGGUGAGAAUCCCGUAUGUGACUAGCUGCCUGUGCCUGUGUGAAGCUCCUUCGACGAGUCGAGUUGUUUGGGAAUGCAGCUCAAAAUGGGUGGUGUACUUCAUCUAAAGCUAAAUAUUGGCCAGAGACCGAUAGCGCACAAGUAGAGUGAUCGAAAGAUGAAAAGCACUUUGGAAAGAGAGUUAAACAGUACGUGAAAUUGUUGAAAGGGAAGCGCUUGCAAUCAGACUUGCGCGGCGUCGAUCAACCUGGGUUCUCCCUGGUGCACUCGGCGCUGCUCAGGCCAGCAUCAGUUUCAGCGGUUGGAUAAAGGCCUAGGGAACGUGGGUUACUUCGGUGACUGUUAUAGCCCUAGGUGCAAUGCAGCCUGCUGGGACUGAGGACCGCGCUUCGGCUAGGAUGCUGGCGUAAUGGUUGUAAGCGACCCGUCUUGAAACACGGACCAAGGAGUGUAAUAUUUAUGCGAGUUUUUGGGUGUUAAACCCAUAAGCGUAAUGAAAGUGAACGGAGGUGAGAACCCUUAAGGGUGCAUCAUCGACCGAUCCUGAUGUCUUCGGAUGGAUUUGAGUAAGAGCAUAACUAUUGCGACCCGAAAGAUGAUGAUCUAUACUUGAAUAGGGUGAAGCCAGAGGAAACUCUGGUGGAGGCUCGCAGCGGUUCUGACGUGCAAAUCGAUCGUCAAAUUUGGGUAUAGGGGCGAAAGACUAAUCGAA